ensembl:lncRNA
CUGCCAGAAAGUGAGAUUUUUUUUUUUUUUAGGUUUCCAGUCUGAAAAGCCUCCCUGGCUGCAGAUCGCGAACGGGGGAAAGCCUAUCUGAAGGAGCUGGUGGGGAUGCCAUUGUAGUGCUCCAGACGUUUCUGUGGACAAAUGGUCUCUUCUCCUUCCUCUGGGAACCCGGAUCCUGAGUGAUCUGCAGACCCGAAAGGGACGGAGAGCUGGCCUUAGAACACCCAGUGGCUGAGACUAGAGCAUCUCUUAUUUAACCAUGUGACUUGAAGGUGAGCAGCCUGACCUCACAUACAUCACAUUUUCAUAUACGCCACAGGUGGGUCUGCCUUGGGGCGGAUAAGGUUGCACAUCUGGAGGAGCUAACAUCUGG